UCUUCCACAAUGGACGCAAGUCUGAUGGAGCAACGCCGCGUGAGUGAAGAAGGUUUUCGGAUCGUAAUGCUCUGUUGUUGGUGAAGAAGGAUAGAGGUAGUAACUGGCCCUUAUCUGACGGUAAUCAACAAGAAAGUCACGGCUAACUACGUGCCAGCGGCCGCGGUAAUACGUAGGUGGCAAGCGUUGUCCGGAUUUAUUGGGCGUAAAGCGAGCGCAGGCGGAAGAAUAAGUCUGAUGUGAAAGCCCUCGGCUUAACCGAGGAAUUGCAUCGGAAACUGUUUUUCUUGAGUGCAGAAGAGGAGAGUGGAACUCCAUGUGUAGCGGUGGAAUGCGUAGAUAUAUGUAAGAACGCCAGUGGCGAAGGCGGCUCUCUGGUCUGCAACUGACGCUGAGGCUCGAAAGCAUGGGUAGCGAACAG
rnacentral:rRNA from 1 species